AUUGAAACACCGGUUCCCGUACGAUCAACGAAGUAAGCAACGUUGAGCCGGGUUAGUACCUAGAUGGGUGACCACUUGGGAAUACCAGGUGUUGUAAG
rnacentral:rRNA from 1 species